CCUACGGGAGGCAGCAGUGAGGAAUAUUGGUCAAUGGCCGUAAGGCUGAACCAGCCAAGUCGCGUGAAGGAAGAAGGAUCUAUGGUUUGUAAACUUCUUUUAUAGGGGAAUAAAGGUAUCCACGUGUGGAUAUUUGCAUGUACCCUAUGAAUAAGCAUCGGCUAACUCCGUGCCAGCAGCCGCGGUAAUACGGAGGAUGCGAGCGUUAUCCGGAUUUAUUGGGUUUAAAGGGUGCGUAGGUUGUUUUUUAAGUCAGCGGUGAAAGUUUGUGGCUCAACCAUAAAAUUGCCGUUGAAACUGGAAGACGUGAGAGUGGUUGAGGUAGGCGGAAUGCGUGGUGUAGCGGUGAAAUGCAGAGAGAUCACGCAGAACUCCGAUUGCGAAGGCAGCUUACUAAGCCAUAACUGACACUGAAGCACGAAAGCGUGGGGAUCAAACAGGAUUAGAUACCCUUGUAGUC
rnacentral:rRNA from 1 species